AUUGAACGCUGGCGGCAGGCUUAACACAUGCAAGUCGAGCGGGGGAAGGUAGCUUGCUACCGGACCUAGCGGCGGACGGGUGAGUAAUGCUUAGGAAUCUGCCUAUUAGUGGGGGACAACAUCUCGAAAGGGAUGCUAAUACCGCAUACGUCCUACGGGAGAAAGCAGGGGAUCUUCGGACCUUGCGCUAAUAGAUGAGCCUAAGUCCGAUUAGCUAGUUGGCGGGGGAACGGCCCACCAAGGCGAGGAUCGGUAGCCGGCCGGAGAGGGCGGACGGCCACACUGGGACUGAGACACGGCCCAGACUCCUACGGGAGGCAGAAGUGGGGAAUUGUUCGCAAUGGGCGCAAGCCUGACGACGCAACGCCGCGUGGAGGAUGAAGAUCUUCGGGUCGUAAACUCCUUUCGAUCGGGAAGAACGGCUUCCGGGUGAACAAUCCGGGAGAGUGACGGUACCGAGAGAAGAAGCCCCGGCUAACUCCGUGCCAGCCGCCGCCGUAA
rnacentral:rRNA from 1 species